CCUUAGCCCCGAUCGCAGCGGCAUCCUUUUGUGGAGCAAAGCGGAACAAAAGAUAUAGCGAAGAGCGGGAUCAGCU
rnacentral:sRNA from 1 species